rnacentral:rRNA from 1 species
AUACUGUGAGCUCGAUGAGUAGGGCGGGACACGUGGUAUCCUGUCUGAAUAUGGGGGGACCAUCCUCCAAGGCUAAAUACUCCUGACUGACCGAUAGUGAACCAGUACCGUGAGGGAAAGGCGAAAAGAACCCCGGCGAGGGGAGUGAAAAAGAACCUGAAACCGUGUACGUACAAGCAGUGGGAGCCUCUUUAUGGGGUGACUGCGUACCUUUUGUAUAAUGGGUCAGCGACUUAUAUUCUGUAGCAAGGUUAACCGAAUAGGGGAGCCGAAGGGAAACCGAGUCUUAACUGGGCGUUAAGUUGCAGGGUAUAGACCCGAAACCCGGUGAUCUAGCCAUGGGCAGGUUGAAGGUUGGGUAACACUAACUGGAGGACCGAACCGACUAAUGUUGAAAAAUUAGCGGAUGACUUGUGGCUGGGGGUGAAAGGCCAAUCAAACCGGGAGAUAGCUGGUUCUCCCCGAAAGCUAUUUAGGUAGCGCCUCGUGAAUUCAUCUCCGGGGGUAGAGCACUGUUUCGGCAAGGGGGUCAUCCCGACUUACCAACCCGAUGCAAACUGCGAAUACCGGAGAAUGUUAUCACGGGAGACACACGGCGGGUGCUAACGUCCGUCGUGAAGAGGGAAACAACCCAGACCGCCAGCUAAGGUCCCAAAGUCAUGGUUAAGUGGGAAACGAUGUGGGAAGGCCCAGACAGCCAGGAUGUUGGCUUAGAAGCAGCCAUCAUUUAAAGAAAGCGUAAUAGCUCACUGGUCGAGUCGGCCUGCGCGGAAGAUGUAACGGGGCUAAACCAUGCACCGAAGCUGCGGCAGCGACACUAUGUGUUGUUGGGUAGGGGAGCGUUCUGUAAGCCUGUGAAGGUGUGCUGUGAGGUAUGCUGGAGGUAUCAGAAGUGCGAAUGCUGACAUAAGUAACGAUAAAGCGGGUGAAAAGCCCGCUCGCCGGAAGACCAAGGGUUCCUGUCCAACGUUAAUCGGGGCAGGGUGAGUCGACCCCUAAGGCGAGGCCGAAAGGCGUAGUCGAUGGGAAACAGGUUAAUAUUCCUGUACUUGGUGUUACUGCGAAGGGGGGACGGAGAAGGCUAUGUUGGCCGGGCGACGGUUGUCCCGGUUUAAGCGUGUAGGCUGGUUUUCCAGGCAAAUCCGGAAAAUCAAGGCUGAGGCGUGAUGACGAGGCACUACGGUGCUGAAGCAACAAAUGCCCUGCUUCCAGGAAAAGCCUCUAAGCAUCAGGUAACAUCAAAUCGUACCCCAAACCGACACAGGUGGUCAGGUAGAGAAUACCAAGGCGCUUGAGAGAACUCGGGUGAAGGAACUAGGCAAAAUGGUGCCGUAACUUCGGGAGAAGGCACGCUGAUAUGUAGGUGAAGUCCCUUGCGGAUGGAGCUGAAAUCAGUCGAAGAUACCAGCUGGCUGCAACUGUUUAUUAAAAACACAGCACUGUGCAAACACGAAAGUGGACGUAUACGGUGUGACGCCUGCCCGGUGCCGGAAGGUUAAUUGAUGGGGUUAGCGGUAACGCGAAGCUCUUGAUCGAAGCCCCGGUAAACGGCGGCCGUAACUAUAACGGUCCUAAGGUAGCGAAAUUCCUUGUCGGGUAAGUUCCGACCUGCACGAAUGGCGUAAUGAUGGCCAGGCUGUCUCCACCCGAGACUCAGUGAAAUUGAACUCGCUGUGAAGAUGCAGUGUACCCGCGGCAAGACGGAAAGACCCCGUGAACCUUUACUAUAGCUUGACACUGAACAUUGAGCCUUGAUGUGUAGGAUAGGUGGGAGGCUUUGAAGUGUGGACGCCAGUCUGCAUGGAGCCGACCUUGAAAUACCACCCUUUAAUGUUUGAUGUUCUAACGUUGGCCCCUGAUCGGGGUUGCGGACAGUGUCUGGUGGGUAGUUUGACUGGGGCGGUCUCCUCCUAAAGAGUAACGGAGGAGCACGAAGGUUGGCUAAUCCUGGUCGGACAUCAGGAGGUUAGUGCAAUGGCAUAAGCCAGCUUGACUGCGAGCGUGACGGCGCGAGCAGGUGCGAAAGCAGGUCAUAGUGAUCCGGUGGUUCUGAAUGGAAGGGCCAUCGCUCAACGGAUAAAAGGUACUCCGGGGAUAACAGGCUGAUACCGCCCAAGAGUUCAUAUCGACGGCGGUGUUUGGCACCUCGAUGUCGGCUCAUCACAUCCUGGGGCUGAAGUAGGUCCCAAGGGUAUGGCUGUUCGCCAUUUAAAGUGGUACGCGAGCUGGGUUUAGAACGUCGUGAGACAGUUCGGUCCCUAUCUGCCGUGGGCGCUGGAGAACUGAGGGGGGCUGCUCCUAGUACGAGAGGACCGGAGUGGACGCAUCACUGGUGUUCGGGUUGUCAUGCCAAUGGCACUGCCCGGUAGCUAAAUGCGGAAGAGAUAAGUGCUGAAAGCAUCUAAGCACGAAACUUGCCCCGAGAUGAGUUCUCCCUGACUCCUUGAGAGUCCUGAAGGAACGUUGAAGACGACGACGUUGAUAGGCCGGGUGUGUAAGCGCAGCGAUGCGUUGAGCUAACCGGUACUAAUGAACCGUGAGGCUUAACCUUACAACGCCGAAG